rnacentral:rRNA from 1 species
GCCUACGGGGGGCAGCAGUAGGGAAUAUUGGGCAAUGGGCGGAAGCCUGACCCAGCCAUACCGCGUGAAGGAAGGAGGUCCUAUGGAUUGUAAACUUCUUUUAUUAGGGACGAAAAAGCGCUUUUGAGCGAAAUUGACGGUACCUAAGGAAUAAGCCACGGCUAACUACGUGCCAGCAGCCGCGGUAAUACGUAGGUGGCAAGCGUUGUCCGGAUUUACUGGGUUUAAAGGGUGCGUAGGCGGGUUGAUAAGUCUGGAGUGAAAGCUGGUCGCUUAACGAUCAAAUUGCUUUGGAUACUGUCAGUCUUGAAUAUGGUUGAGGUUGCUGGAAUGUGCAGUGUAGCGGUGAAAUGCUUAGAUAUUGCCCAGAACACCAAUUGCGAAGGCAUGUGACCAAGCCAUUAUUGACGCUGAUGCACGAAAGUAUGGGUAGCAAACAGGAUUAGAUACCCCCGUAGUCCC